UACGGAGGGGGCAAGCGUUGUCCGGACUCACUGGGCGUAAAGGGUGCGUAGGUGGCUUGCCACGUCGGUGCUGAAAGCGCCCGGCUUAACCGGGCGAGGCGUGCCGAUACGAGCGAGCUCGAGCCUCGGAGAGGGCGGUGGAACUCCUGGUGUAGUGGUGAAAUGCGUAGAUAUCAGGAAGAACACCCGUGGCGCAAGCGACCGCCUGGCCGAGUGCUGACACUGAGGCACGAAAGCGUGGGGAGCGAACCGG
rnacentral:rRNA from 1 species